CGGGCUUUGCCCGGCGCACUUCUCGGUGGAUGGGCCAGCAUCGAUUUCGGCUGCNGGAAAAGGGCGAGGGGAAGGUGGCACCUCCGGGUGUGUUAUAGCCCCUCGUCGUAUACGGUGGCUGGGAUCGAGGUUCGCAGCACGCCUUUAUGGUCGGGGUUCGCCCACGCCACGUGCUUAGGAUGCUGGCGUAAUGGCUUUAAACGACCCGUCUUGAAACACGGACCAAGGAGUCUAACAUGCCUGCGAGUGUUUGGGUGGAAAACCCAGGCGCGUAAUGAAAGUGAAAGGUUGGGACUCCCCUAAACAAGGAGGCACCGACGCCCGAUCCUGACCUUCUGUGACGGAUUUGAGGCAGAGCAUGUAUGUUGGGACCCGAAAGAUGGUGAACUAUGCCUGAAUAGGGCGAAGCCAGAGGAAACUCUGGUGGAGGCUCGUA
rnacentral:rRNA from 1 species